rnacentral:tRNA from 1 species
AUUUUAUAAGUAUAUAUGUACAUUUAAUUUCCAUUUAAAAAGUCUAAUUAAUUAGAUAAAAUA